rnacentral:rRNA from 1 species
AUACGGGGGGUGCAAGCGUUAUUCGGAUUUAUUGGGCGUAAAGGGCGCGUAGGCGGCUUGGUAAGUCAGAUGUGAAAGCCCGGGGCUCAACCCCGGAAGUGCAUUUGAAACUAUCAGGCUUGAGUAUGGGAGAGGGAAGUGGAAUUCCUGGUGUAGAGGUGAAAUUCGUAGAUAUCAGGAGGAACACCGGUGGCGAAGGCGACUUCCUGGACCAAUACUGACGCUGAGGGACGAAAGCGUGGGGAGCAAACAGGAUUAGAAACCCCAGUAGUCC